AUUGAACGCUGGCGGCAGGCCUAACACAUGCAAGUCGAGCGGAGCGGCGGACGGGUGAGUAAUGCCUAGGAAUCUGCCUGGUAGUGGGGGAUAACGUCCGGAAACGGGCGCUAAUACACACUACUAUCAGUUGACCCUGGGUCGGAUUAGCUAGUUGGUGGGGUAAAGGCCUACCAAGGCGACGAUCCGUAACUGGUCUGAGAGGAUGAUCAGUCACACUGGAACUGAGACACGGUCCAGACUCCUACGGGAGGCAGCAGUGGGGAAUAUUGGACAAUGGGCGAAAGCCUGAUCCAGCCAUGCCGCGUGUGUGAAGAAGGUCUUCGGAUUGUAAAGCACUUUAAGUUGGGAGGCGUUACCAACAGAAUAAGCACCGGCUAACUUCGUGCCAGCCGCCGCGGUAAUUC
rnacentral:rRNA from 1 species